GCCACCUCUAAUGCAAGCCCCUCGACAGGUAUUUAUUAAUGCAGUGAGGGCCAGGAUUCCAACAGCUCAGUCCAUCAAAAAUGCUUACAAAGUACAAACAAAUAUAAGCCCAGGGCUUAUAUUCAGAUGUUUACAAUAUUCAUCUGGCCAAACAUAAUUUGUCAGAGUUUUAUAAAUCCCACAGUCAUUAGAGUUGUAGUUCUAAAAGUAUUUGUAGGAAUGAAAGGUGUAAAAUGAAACUUAAUUUGGGAGUUAAGAAACACAAUUAAUGCAUUAAUGGACAAGACUGUCCCCUUGAGAAGUAAAAUUGCCUGCCAUUAGAGGGUCUGAAAGUAAAAUAACAAGCUUGGGUGCAUGGCAGCCUAAUGGGUUAACUUAAUAGUUGGCUGCAAUUACCUGUUGUAGGCUUUAAAGUUGGUUUCAAACUAGGGCUUAUAAAUGCCAGAACUCAUAUGUGAAAAAUUGCACGAGUCAGUUUAUCUGACAUACCAUAAUGAACCCAUUUAAUAGGUUGCAUUGCACCCUACUUUAUUAUGUUACUUUGUCCAAGUGUCUAACACCAACAAUUUUACUCGUCAACAGGAGAGUGCUGGCACUCAAUGGGUUAACAUAUAAAUGUCUACCUGAACAGUUGGGUUUGGGUUCUACUCUAAAGUAAAUUUCCCUGUAAUCGGAUUGUGGGAUAUGUGACUCUGUCAAUAUUUCUUCAAAGUGUGUUCUAAUGAUACAUACUGUCACUAUUUUAUAAGCAUAAUGGACAUUUCUCAUUCAGGGUGAUGUAAGUCAUGUGGACAAGAGAUUAAUACAAGUUCUUUUGAAUGUUCAAAUCGCAAGAGUAGUGGUGUAGUGGUACACUAGCACUUGCCAGACCUAAUUGGCAGAACUAACAAUGACUUUUCUCUAUAACUUUGUGGAUCAAAACCUGGAACAGCGAAAGAAUAGCCUAUGGAGCUACAAAGUUAUAAUAAUACUCUAUUACAUGUAACUUGAUUGUACAGUUAG